rnacentral:rRNA from 1 species
UACGUAGGGAGCAAGCGUUGUCCGGAAUCAUUGGGCGUAAAGCGCGCGUAGGCGGCCCUGUAAGUCCGCUGUGAAAGUCAAAGGCUCAACCUUUGAAAGCCGGUGGAUACUGCAGGGCUAGAGUCCGGAAGAGGCGAGUGGAAUUCCUGGUGUAGCGGUGGAAUGCGCAGAUAUCAGGAGGAACACCAAUAGCGAAGGCAGCUCGCUGGGACGUGACUGACGCUGAGACGCGAAAGCGUGGGGAGCAAACAGG